rnacentral:rRNA from 1 species
GUGGGGAAUAUUGGGCAAUGGGCGAAAGCCUGACCCAGCAACGCCGCGUGAAGGAAGAAGGUUUUCGGAUCGUAAACUUCUAUCCUUGGUGAAGAUAAUGACGGUAGCCAAGAAGGAAGCCCCGGCUAACUACGUGCCAGCAGCCGCGGUAAUACGUAGGGGGCAAGCGUUGUCCGGAAUGAUUGGGCGUAAAGGGCGCGUAGGCGGCCCGGUAAGUCUGAAGUGAAAGUCCUGCUUUUAAGGUGGGAAUUGCUUUGGAUACUGUCGGGCUUGAGUGCAGGAGAGGUAAGCGGAAUUCCCGGUGUAGCGGUGAAAUGCGUAGAGAUCGAGAGGAACACCAGUGGCGAAGGCGGCUUACUGGACUGUAACUGACGCUGAGGCGCGAAAGUGUGGGGAGCAAACAGGAUUAGAAACCCCAGUAGUCC